rnacentral:rRNA from 1 species
AGAGUUUGAUCCUGGCUCAGGACGAACGCUGGCGGCGUGCUUAACACAUGCAAGUCGAACGGGGUAACGUUCAGCACUGAGUGUUUCGGGAUGGAGUUAGCAGGCAGCGCAUAAGCUGCGGAGUGAAGCGGAGCAGCUUUACGCCCUUAUAAGUGCUAACACAAACCAGGUAAAAGAGAAACAUUGAGUGCUGAACGGUACCUAGUGGCGAACGGGUGAGUAACGCGUAGACAACCUGCCUCAAAGAUGGGGACAACACCGCGAAAGUGGUGCUAAUACCGAAUGUGGUAAAGGAGAAGCAUUUCUCCUUUAAGAAAGGUGGCCUCUGAAUAUGCUACCGCUUUGAGAUGGGUCUGCGUCUGAUUAGCUAGUUGGUGGGGUAAUGGCCUACCAAGGCGACGAUCAGUAGCCGGUCUGAGAGGAUGAACGGCCACACUGGGACUGAGACACGGCCCAGACUCCUACGGGAGGCAGCAGUGGGGAAUCUUCCGCAAUGGACGAAAGUCUGACGGAGCAACGCCGCGUGAGUGAAGAAGGUUUUCGGAUUGUAAAGCUCUGUCUUCGGGGACGAACGUGCGAUUAGUGAAUAAUUAAUUGUAGUGACGGUACCUGAGGAGGA